CCUACGGGGAGCAGCAGUGGGGAAUAUUGCACAAUGGGGGAAACCCUGAUGCAGCGACGCCGCGUGAGUGAAGAAGUAUCUCGGUACGUAAAGCUCUAUCAGCAGGGAAGAAAAUGACGGUACCUGACUAAGAAGCCCCGGCUAACUACGUGCCAGCAGCCGCGGUAAUACGUAGGGGGCAAGCGUUAUCAGGAUUUACUGGGUGUAAAGGGAGGGUAGACGGCAGCACAAGUCUGGAGUGAAAUCCCGGGGCUUAACCCCGGAACUGCUUUGGAAACUGUGCGGCUGGAGUGCAGGAGGGGUAAGCGGAAUUCCUAGUGUAGCGGUGAAAUGCGUAGAUAUUAGGAGGAACACCGGUGGCGAAGGCGGCUUACUGGACUGUAACUGACGUUGAGGCUCGAAAGCCAGGGGAGCAAAUGGGAUUAGAUACCCCGGUAGUC
rnacentral:rRNA from 1 species